rnacentral:lncRNA from 1 species
UAAAAAAUAUAAAAAUAAUGAGCAAAUAAUUAGCACAUUAUGGUCAUGUAUAUGUAUGUGUCUAUAUAUAUAUAUAUAUAUAUUUAUUACUAGUUAUAAAUAAUACGUAAAGAAUAAUACUUUUAUGUUUUACCGAAUAACAAUAAAACAUAUAAAAUACACAUAAAAGUAAAUAUAUGCAUUGUUAAUAAAUCAUCAAAAUUGUUGUAUAUAUUGGUAUUAUUAUAUAUAUAUAUAUAUAUAUAUAUAUAUAUAUAUUUUUUUUUUUUUUUUUUUUUGUUACUCUUUUUUUUCUUUAUAUAUAGCCGCAGGGAGGGUUUUGAUAAGUGGCACAUUUAACGAAAAUGGCGUAAAGGAUAAUGAAGUUUUGGUAUUUAAAGAUCUUGGAGUUCAAAUAUCUUGGAGAUUAGUUUAUGUGAUAGAGUAUUUGGGGCCCAUUUUUAUUUUCCCUUUUUUUUAUUUUUGUGAUAAAUAUAUAUAUUCACAUACAAAUAAAAAUAAGAACAUUAUUCAAAUGUUGUCCUUAUGGUUUUUAUUAUUUCAUUUUAUAAAAAGAGAGUUCGAGUCACUAUUUGUUCACCGGUUUAGCAAUGCGACUAUGCCAUUAAUUAGGGUUCCUAUAAAUUGUGGCCAUUAUUGGGUAUUAUGCGGGGUAAAUAUUGGAUAUUACCUAUUUCACCCUUUAUAUAAACCCCUUAAUUUAGGCUCAAAAUCUUAUAUAAUUUACGCACUCUUUGUUAUAUUAAUAAUUUUAGAACUUUUAAAUUUAAAAUGUCAUUUGAUAUUAAGAAAUUUAAGACCCAGAGGUAAUAUAUUUAUAUAUAUAGGAGAAAUAUGCGUUAUACAUUAUUUUAUUAAGGCGCAAAAAAAAAAAAAAAAUAAAUAAAUAAAUAAUAAAAUAAAAAGAACGAGUUAUAAUGUAUAUAAA